UUUUCUUGUUUUUUAUUUGUGGCAUCUUAUUGUAAAGCCGUGACAUAUUUUGCCGUUUUCUCUAGGGAACCCUGCAACAAGGACUGUAGUGUGAAUAGCGUGCUGCGCUGCUCUCGCCAACUGAAAAGAACUCUGGUAAGAUGCAUGCUUGGUUAUGAAAGUCUCACGCAAUCGCUUUUCACAUUGAAUUUGGUCGCAGGUGUGCUGUAAAUGCCGACUGCACAAUAUGUGACUGGCCCGCGGCUGCUUUGAAGUUUGUGCGCUGUGGAGCUUGAAGCACUUCUCGGAAUUUCAGCACACUCGCAUUUAUUUUUUUCCCGACAGAAGAAAAAUGCAAGUCUAACAUCUCGACGGUAAAACGUCGCAUCUGCGCACGUGUUCAGGGCCAAGAGCACGAGAAGUGGCCGAAAGAAGGGAGCCGAUCCAACAGGAAUGCCGUCCGUCUUUAUAUUUAUAUAUGUCAGCGUUAUCAUGCCGUGAUCACAUGGACUGUACGGUUGCGUUGCACAAGGGCUGAUGCAAACGCUCCGUGCGAACAAUGUUGCAUGGAAAAUUAGUGCAUCUAUACAAUUGCAAAAUAAAGAUCUAAAGAGAGAAAACUUAUAUUCACGUCUUUCUUUUAUUGUGUGUUACGUAUUAACACGUUAACAAGUGCAGACCGUUAGAGGCGUUUAAUUCC